UUCUGAAUCGAAGCUACAGCACCAAGGAUCUCUCAAUCCUAGAGCCCAAAUUUCAGGCUGCAAAUCCUUGUCUUGUGAAUAAGGAUUAUCUCGAGGAACAGAAUAGUUACCCCAACGUCCAAGGUCUGAUAUUUCUUCUUGACCUGAUGAGAAAAAAAUCACCCAGUAUCCCAUGACAUAACUGAAGAGAAUAGUUACCCCAAUGUCCAAGGUCUGAUAUUUCUUCUUGACCUGAUGAAAAAAAAUCACCCAGUAUCUCAUGACAUAACUCAAGAAAGUUCAAGGCAGGCCAAUUAGGCUUCUAGUUUUGGUGUCAAUUUUUGUAAUAAAUCGAAAUGCUCACUAGG
rnacentral:lncRNA from 1 species